rnacentral:rRNA from 1 species
GACGAACCGAGCAAACGUUAUUCGGAAUCACUGGGCUUAAAGGGCGCGUAGGCGGGUCAGCAAGUCAGGGGUGAAAGCCCCCAGCUCAACUGGGGAAGUGCCUUUGAUACUGUUGAUCCCGAGGGAGGUAGGGGCGUGCGGAACUUCCGGUGGAGCGGUGAAAUGCGUAGAUAUCGGAAGGAACACCGGUGGCGAAAGCGGCGCGCUGGACCUCUUCUGACGCUGAGGCGCGAAAGCCAGGGGAGCAAACGGG